GAUGAACGCUGGCGGCGUGCCUAAUACAUGCAAGUCGAGCGAACAGAUGAGGAGCUUGCUCCUCUGACGUUAGCGGCGGACGGGUGAGUAACACGUGGAUAACCUACCUAUAAGACUGGGAUAACUUCGGGAAACCGGAGCUAAUACCGGAUAAUAUAUUGAACCGCAUGGUUCAAUAGUGAAAGACGGUUUUGCUGUCACUUAUAGAUGGAUCCGCGCCGCAUUAGCUAGUUGGUAAGGUAACGGCUUACCAAGGCAACGAUGCGUAGCCGACCUGAGAGGGUGUCCGCCAACACUGGAACUGAACCCGGUCCCGACCUCCACCGGGAGGAACCAGUAGGAACUCUCCGUAAAGGGCCGAAGUCCGAACGGAGCACCCCCACGGGAGUAAUAAAGUUCUUGGAAUCGAAACACUCUUUUAUUAGGGAAAAACAAAUGUGUAAUAAACUAUGCCCGUCUGGGCGCUCCAUAAUAAGAAACCCCCGACUAACUCCUUC
rnacentral:rRNA from 1 species